rnacentral:rRNA from 1 species
AGGACGAACGCUGGCGGCGUGCUUAACACAUGCAAGUCGAGCGACGCUCCUCCUUCGGGAGGAUGACGGAGCGGCGAACGGGUGAGUAACACGUGGGCAACCUGCCCCUAGCUCUGGGAUAACCCCGGGAAAUCGGGACUAAUACCGGAUAUGAAGUCGGACGGCAUCGUCUGACUUGGAAAGUUUUUCGGCUAGGGAUGGGCCCGCGGCCUAUCAGCUUGUUGGUGGGGUAAUGGCCUACCAAGGCGACGACGGGUAGCCGGCCUGAGAGGGCGACCGGCCACACUGGGACUGAGACACGGCCCAGACUCCUACGGGAGGCAGCAGUGGGGAAUAUUGCACAAUGGGCGAAAGCCUGAUGCAGCGACGCCGCGUGAGGGAUGACUGCCUUCGGGUUGUAAACCUCUUUCAGCAGGGACGAAGCGAAAGUGACGGUACCUGCAGAAGAAGCACCGGCAACUACGUGCCAGCAGCCGCGGUAA